CAGUCGCCGCGGGAAAACGUAGGUGGCAAGCGUUGUCCGGAAUUAUUGGGCGUAAAGGGCUCGCAGGCGGUUUCUUGAGUCUGAUGUGAAAGCCCACGGCUCAACCGGGGAGGGUCAUUGGAAACUGAGAAACUUGAGUGCAGAAGAGGAGAGUGGAAUUCCACGUGUAGUGGUGAAAUGCGUAGAGAUGUGGAGGAACACCAGUGGCGAAGGCGACUCUCUGGUCUGUAACUGACGCUGAGGAGCGAAAGCGUGGGGAGCGAACAGGAUUAGAUACCCCUGUAGUCCCUGUCUCUUAUAC
rnacentral:rRNA from 1 species